rnacentral:rRNA from 1 species
AGAGUUUGAUCCUGGCUCAGAGUGAACGCUGGCGGCAGGCCUAACACAUGCAAGUCGAGCGGCAGCGCGGGGCAACCUGGCGGCGAGCGGCGGACGGGUGAGGAAUUCGUCGGAAUCUGCCUUUUUGUGGGGGAUAACGUAGGGAAACUUACGCUAAUACCGCAUACGACCUGAGGGUGAAAGCGGGGGAUCGCAAGACCUCGCGCGAUAGGAGCGGCCGAUGUCGGAUUAGCUAGUUGGUGAGGUAAAGGCUCACCAAGGCGACGAUCCGUAGCUGGUCUGAGAGGAUGAUCAGCCACACUGGGACUGAGACACGGCCCAGACUCCUACGGGAGGCAGCAGUGGGGAAUUUUGGACAAUGGGGGCAACCCUGAUCCAGCCAUUCCGCGUGAGUGAAGAAGGCCUUCGGGUUGUAAAGCUCUUUCGGCAGGAACGAAACGGUCGUCUCUAACAUAGAUGGCUAAUGACGGUACCUGAAGAAGAAGCACCGGCUAACUACGUGCCAGCAGCCGCGGUAAUACGUAGGGUGCGAGCGUUAAUCGGAAUUACUGGGCGUAAAGCGUGCGCAGGCGGUUUCGUAAGACAGAUGUGAAAUCCCCGGGCUUAACCUGGGAACUGCGUUUGUGACUGCGAGACUUGAGUGCGGCAGAGGGGGGUGGAAUUCCACGUGUAGCAGUGAAAUGCGUAGAGAUGUGGAGGAACACCGAUGGCGAAAGCAGCCCCCUGGGUCGACACUGACGCUCAUGCACGAAAGCGUGGGUAGCAAACAGGAUUAGAUACCCUGGUAGUCCACGCCCUAA